AUUCCAGCUCCAAUAGCGUAUAUUAAAGUUGUUGCGGUUAAAAAGCUCGUAGUUGGAGUUCUGCCAGGUGGCGCUCGUCCGCCCAAGUGGUGUGUACAGGGCGUGCAUCUGGCCCUUUCAAGGGGAACGUGUCUGCACUUCAUUGUGUGGUGCGAGAUCCUUGACUUUUACUUUGAGGAAAUAAGAGUGUUCCAAGCAGGCUAGCGCUUGAAUACAUUAGCAUGGAAUAAUGGAAUAGGACUUUGGUGCUAUUUUGUUGGCUUAUGGGACCGAAGUAAUGAUUAAUAGGGACAGUUGGGGCCGUUUAUAUUUCGUUGUCAGAGGUGAAAUUCUUGGAUUUACGAAAGAUAAACUUCUGCGAAAGCAUUCGGCAAGGAUGUUUUCAUUG
rnacentral:rRNA from 1 species